rnacentral:tRNA from 1 species
AAAUUUAGGUUCAUAAAACCAAAGGCCUUCAAAGCCUUAAACAGGGCACCAACCCUAAUUUCUG